rnacentral:rRNA from 1 species
CCUGGUUGAUCCUACCAGUAGUCAUGUGCUUGUCUCAAAGAUUAAACUGUAAAUACGGACUAAUUCAGACUGUGAAACUGCGAAUGACUUAUUAAAUCGGUUAUAGUUUAUUUGAUGGUAUCUGCUACUCGGGUAACCGUAGUAAUUCUAGAGCUAAUACGUGCAACAAAUCCUGACUUCUGGAAGGGAUGCAUUUAUUAGAUGAAAGGUCGACGUAGGCUUUGUCCAUUGCUAUGAUGAUUCAUGAUAACUCGACGGAUCGCACGGCCUUUGCACGACAAUGCAUUAUUCAAAUUUAUUUCGAUGGUAGGAUAGUGGCCUACCAUGGUGGUGACGAGUGACGGAGAAUUGGGGUUCGAUUUUCGGAGAGGGGGCCUGAGAAACGGCUACCACAUCCAAGGAAGACAACAGGCUCGCAAAUUACCCAAUCUUGACUCGGGAAGGUAGUGACAAUAAAUAACAAUAUCGGGCUCUUUGAGUCUGGUAAUUGGAAUAAAUACAAUCUAAAUCCCUCAAUGAGGAUCCAUUGGAUGGAAAGUCUGGGGCCAACAGCCGCAGUAAUCCCAGCUCCAAUAGUGUAUAUUUAAGUUGUUGUAGUUAAAAAGCUCGUAGUUAGACCUUAGGGUGGGCCAACCAGUCCGCGUUACAGUGUGGGCCAGUCAUCCUGCUCCUUCUACCGACAAUGCGCUCCUGGCCUUAACUGGCUAGGUCGUACCACCGAUGCUGUUAUUUUGAAGACAUUAGAGCACUUGAAGUAGGCCUACGCUCUGGAUACAUUAGUUUGGGAUAACAUCAUAGGAUUCCGAUCCUAUUAUGUUGGCCUUCGGGAUCAGAGUAAUGAUUAAUAAGGACAGUUGGGGGCAUUCGAAUUUCAUAGUCAGAGAUGAAAUUCUUGGAUUUAUGAAAGACGAACAACUGUGAAAGCAUUUGCGAAGGAUGCUUUCGUUAAUCAAGAACGAAAGUUGAGAGCUCCAAGACGAUUAGAUACUAUCCUAGUCUCAACCAUAAACAAUGCCGAAUAGGGAUCGGAAGAAGUUGCUUUUAGGAUGCCGCCGGCACCUUAUGAGAAAUCAAAGUUUUUAGGUUCCCGGAAGAGUAUGGUCACAAGGUUGAAACUUAAAGGAAUUGACAGAAGGGCACCACCAGGAGUGGAGCCUACGGCUUAAUUUGACUCAACACGGGGAAACUUACCAGGUCUAGACAUAGUAAGGAUUGACAGACAGAGAGCUCUUUCUUGAUUCUAUGGGUGGUGGUGCAUGGUCGUUCUUAGUUGGUGGAGUGAUUUGUCUGGUUGAUUUCGUUAACGAAUGAGACCUCAGCCUGCUAACUAGCUAUGUGGAGGUAACCCUUCACAGCUAGCUUCUUAGGGGGACUAUGGCCUUCCAGGCCACGAAUGUUUGAGGCAACAACAGGUCUGUGAUGCCCUUAGAUGUUCUGGGCCGCACGUAUGCUACACUGAUGUAUUCAACGAGUCUAUAGGCUUGGCCGAUAGGCUCAGGUAAUCUUUGAAAUUUCAUUGUGACAGGGAUAGACCAUUGCAAUUAUUGGUCUUCAAUGAGGAAUUCCUAGUAAGCGCGAGUCAUCAGCUCACGUUGACUACGUCCCUGCCCUUUGUACACAUGGCUCAUCGCUCAUAUCGAUUGAGUAGUCCAGUGAAGUGUUCAGAUUACGGUGACGUGGGCAGUUCAACGCCGGUAAUGUCACGAGAAGUCCAUUGAACCUAUUAUUUAGAGGAAGGAAAAGUCGUAACAAGGUUUCCGUAGGUGAACCCGCUAAAG